rnacentral:rRNA from 1 species
UACGUAGGGGGCGAGCGUUGUCCGGAUUUAUUGGGCGUAAAGAGCUCGUAGGUGGUUUGGUAAGUCGGAUGUGAAAUCUCCAGGCUCAACCUGGAGGGGUCAUUCGAUACUGCCAUGACUAGAGUUCGGUAGGGGAGUGUGGAAUUCCUGGUGUAGCGGUGGAAUGCGCAGAUAUCAGGAGGAACACCGGUGGCGAAGGCAAUCCCCUGGGCCUGCACUGACGCUCAUGCACGAAAGCGUGGGGAGCAAACAGG